rnacentral:rRNA from 1 species
UACGGGGGGGGCAAGCGUUGUUCGGAAUUACUGGGCGUAAAGGGCUCGUAGGCGGCCAACUAAGUCAAACGUGAAAUCCCUCGGCUUAACCGGGGAACUGCGCUUGAUACUGGAUGGCUUGAGAUUGGGAGAGGGAUGCGGAAUUCCUGGUGUAGCGGUGAAAUGCGCAGAUAUCAGGAAGAACACCCGUGGCUAAGGCGGCUCUCUAGUACGGUACUGACGCUGAGAGGCGAAAGCGUGGGGAGCGAACAGG